rnacentral:rRNA from 1 species
AGGACGAACGCUGGCGGCGUGCUUAACACAUGCAAGUCGAGCGGAAAGGCCCUUCGGGGUACUCGAGCGGCGAACGGGUGAGUAACACGUGAGCAACCUGCCCCUGGCUCUGGGAUAGCCUCCGGGAAACGGGGAUUAAUACCGGACAUGACCCUUGACCGCAUGGUUGGGGGUGGAAAGUUUUUCGGCCAGGGUGGGGCUCGCGGCCUAUCAGCUUGGUUGGGGGGGUGACGGCCCACCAAGGCGACGACGGGUAG